rnacentral:rRNA from 1 species
GUUGUAUGGUUAAGUGACUAAGCGUACACGGUGGAUGCCUAGGCAGUCAGAGGCGAUGAAGGACGUAUUAACUUGCGAUAAGCGUAGAUGAGGCAGUAAAAGCCACUUGAGUCUACGAUUUCCGAAUGGGGAAACCCAAGUGCAUAAGCACUUAUCGCUGCGUGAAUACAUAGCGCAGCGAGGCAAACCGGGGGAACUGAAACAUCUAAGUACCCCGAGGAGAAGAAAUCAACCGAGAUUCCGAAAGUAGCGGCGAGCGAAAUUGGAUUAGCCCUUAAGCUUUAUUGGUGUCAGGCGAAGUGCUCUGGAAAGGCACGCGAUACCGGGUGAUAGCCCCGUAGCCGUUAACGCCAGUAAAGUGAAAUCGAGUAGGGCGGGACACGUGAUAUCCUGUCUGAAUAUGGGGGGACCAUCCUCCAAGGCUAAAUACUCCUGACUGACCGAUAGUGAACCAGUACCGUGAGGGAAAGGCGAAAAGAACCCCUGUGAGGGGAGUGAAAUAGAACCUGAAACCGUGUACGUACAAGCAGUAGGAGCCUCUUUAAUGGGGUGACUGCGUACCUUUUGUAUAAUGGGUCAGCGACUUAUAUUCAGUGGCAAGGUUAACCAAAUAGGGGAGCCGUAGGGAAACCGAGUCUUAACUGGGCGUUCAGUCUCUGGAUAUAGACCCGAAACCGGGUGAUCUAGCCAUGGGCAGGUUGAAGGUUGAGUAACAUCAACUGGAGGACCGAACCGACUAAUGUUGAAAAAUUAGCGGAUGACUUGUGGCUAGGGGUGAAAGGCCAAUCAAACUCGGAGAUAGCUGGUUCUCCCCGAAAGCUAUUUAGGUAGCGCCUCGGACGAAUACUACUGGGGGUAGAGCACUGUUAAGGCUAGGGGGUCAUCCCGACUUACCAACCCUUUGCAAACUCCGAAUACCAGUAAGUACUAUCCGGGAGACACACGGCGGGUGCUAACGUCCGUCGUGAAGAGGGAAACAACCCAGACCGCCAGCUAAGGUCCCAAAGUAUUGCUAAGUGGGAAACGAUGUGGGAAGGCUUAGACAGCUAGGAUGUUGGCUUAGAAGCAGCCAUCAUUUAAAGAAAGCGUAAUAGCUCACUAGUCGAGUCGGCCUGCGCGGAAGAUGUAACGGGGCUAAGCAAUACACCGAAGCUGCGGCAAUGCGAUUUAUCGUAUUGGGUAGGGGAGCGUUCUGUAAGCCGUUGAAGGUGAACUGUAAGGUUUGCUGGAGGUAUCAGAAGUGCGAAUGCUGACAUGAGUAACGACAAGGGGGGUGAAAAACCUCCCCGCCGGAAGACCAAGGGUUCCUGUCCAACGUUAAUCGGGGCAGGGUAAGUCGACCCCUAAGGCGAGGCCGAAAGGCGUAGUCGAUGGGAAACGGGUUAAUAUUCCCGUACUUCUUAUGAAUGCGAUGGGGGGACGGAGAAGGCUAGGUGGGCCAGGCGACGGUUGUCCUGGUUCAAGUGCGUAGGCUAAGAGACUAGGUAAAUCCGGUUUCUUGUUAGGCUGAGACACGACGUCGAGCUACUACGGUAGUGAAGUCAUUGAUGCCCUGCUUCCAGGAAAAGCCUCUAAGCUUCAGUUCAUAAGAAAUCGUACCCCAAACCGACACAGGUGGUCGGGUAGAGAAUACCAAGGCGCUUGAGAGAACUCGGGUGAAGGAACUAGGCAAAAUGGUACCGUAACUUCGGGAGAAGGUACGCUCUUGACGGUGAAGUCCCUUGCGGAUGGAGCUAUUGAGAGUCGCAGAUACCAGGUGGCUGCAACUGUUUAUUAAAAACACAGCACUGUGCAAAAUCGCAAGAUGACGUAUACGGUGUGACGCCUGCCCGGUGCCGGAAGGUUAAUUGAUGGGGUUAGACGCAAGUCGAAGCUCUUGAUCGAAGCCCCGGUAAACGGCGGCCGUAACUAUAACGGUCCUAAGGUAGCGAAAUUCCUUGUCGGGUAAGUUCCGACCUGCACGAAUGGCGUAAUGAUGGCCACGCUGUCUCCACCCGAGACUCAGUGAAAUUGAAAUCGCUGUGAAGAUGCAGUGUACCCGCGGCUAGACGGAAAGACCCCGUGAACCUUUACUACAGCUUGGCACUGAACAUUGAACCUACAUGUGUAGGAUAGGUGGGAGACUUUGAAGCGCAGACGCUAGUUUG